GAUGAACGCUGGCGGCGUGCCUAAUACAUGCAAGUCGAGCGAACGGACGAGAAGCUUGCUUCUCUGAUGUUAGCGGCGGACGGGUGAGUAACACGUGGAUAACCUACCUAUAAGACUGGGAUAACUUCGGGAAACCGGAGCUAAUACCGGAUAAUAUUUUGAACCGCAUGGUUCAAAAGUGAAAGACGGUCUUGCUGUCACUUAUAGAUGGAUCCGCGCUGCAUUAGCUAGUUGGUAAGGUAACGGCUUACCAAGGCAACGAUGCAUAGCCGACCUGAGAGGGUGAUCGGCCACACUGGAACUGAGACACGGUCCAGACUCCUACGGGAGGCAGCAGUAGGGAAUCUUCCGCAAUGGGCGAAAGCCUGACGGAGCAACGCCGCGUGAGUGAUGAAGGUCUUCGGAUCGUAAAACUCUGUUAUUAGGGAAGAACAUAUGUGUAAGUAACUGUGCACAUCUUGACGGUACCUAAUCAGAAAGCCACGGCUAACUACGUGCCAACAGCCGCGGUAAUACGUAGGUGGCAAGCGUUAUCCGGAAAUAUUGGGCGUAAAGCGCGCGUAGCGGUUUUUUAGUCUGAUGUGAAAGCCCACGGCUCAACCGUGGAGGGUCAUUGGAAACUGGAAAACUUGAGUGCAGAAGAGGAAAGUGGAAUUCCAUGUGUAGCGGUGAAAUGCGCAGAGAUAUGGAGGAACACCAGUGGCGAAGGCGACUUUCUGGUCUGUAACUGACGCUGAUGUGCGAAAGCGUGGGGAUCAAACAGGAUUAGAUACCCUGGUAGUCCACGCCGUAAACGAUGAGUGCUAAGUGUUAGGGGGUUUCCGCCCCUUAGUGCUGCAGCUAACGCAUUAAGCACUCCGCCUGGGGAGUACGACCGCAAGGUUGAAACUCAAAGGAAUUGACGGGGACCCGCACAAGCGGUGGAGCAUGUGGUUUAAUUCGAAGCAACGCGAAGAACCUUACCAAAUCUUGACAUCCUUUGACAACUCUAGAGAUAGAGCUUUCCCCUUCGGGGGACAAAGUGACAGGUGGUGCAUGGUUGUCGUCAGCUCGUGUCGUGAGAUGUUGGGUUAAGUCCCGCAACGAGCGCAACCCUUAAGCUUAGUUGCCAUCAUUAAGUUGGGCACUCUAAGUUGACUGCCGGUGACAAACCGGAGGAAGGUGGGGAUGACGUCAAAUCAUCAUGCCCCUUAUGAUUUGGGCUACACACGUGCUACAAUGGACAAUACAAAGGGCAGCGAAACCGCGAGGUCAAGCAAAUCCCAUAAAGUUGUUCUCAGUUCGGAUUGUAGUCUGCAACUCGACUACAUGAAGCUGGAAUCGCUAGUAAUCGUAGAUCAGCAUGCUACGGUGAAUACGUUCCCGGGUCU
rnacentral:rRNA from 1 species